AAAAAUAACAAUACAGGACUCAUAUCCGAGGCCCUGUAAUUGGAAUGAGUCCACUUCAAAUCCUUUAACAAGGACCAAUUGGAGGGCAAGUCUGGUGCCAGCAGCCGCGGUAAUUCCAGCUCCAAUAGCGUAUAUUAAAGUUGUUGCGGUUAAAACGUUCGUAGUUGAACUUGUGCUUCAUACGGGUAGUACAACUACAAUUGUGGAUUGUACAUUACCUUAUGUAUGCAAGCGUAUUAUCGGUGGAGUUCUUAUAUGUAAUGAUACUUGUAUUGUUAUAUAUACCUCCUAUUUAAACCUGCUUCAGUGCUCUUCAUCGAGUGCUGUUGUGGGCCGAUACAAUUACUUUGAACAAAUUAGAGUGCUUAAAGCAGGCUCCAAAUGCCUGAAUAUUUUGUGCAUGGAAUAAUGAAAUAAGACUUCUGAUCUACUUUCAUUGGUUUUUAGAUCAAGAUGUAAUGAUUAAUAGAAGCAGUUUGGGGGCAUUAGUAUUACGACGCGAGA
rnacentral:rRNA from 1 species